rnacentral:rRNA from 1 species
UUUUAAUCCUUUACGUAAAACUAAAUAUUCUCACAGGCUUAAAAUUUAAUCAAAUAAGGUACAGCCUAUUUGAAAUAGGAUACAACCUCCAACAGAGGGUAAUGUUUAAACAAAUGUGACCAAGUGGGCCCAAAAGCAGCCAUCUUUUAAAAAGCGUUAAAGCCUUAUCACACUAACCAUUAAUACCAACCCCAAUCCAAACCCCCUCACCACUACUGAAUGACUUCAUAUUUAUAUGACUGCCCUUAUGUUAAAACUAGUAACAAGAAUAAUUAUUCUCCUGUAAUGUAAGUGUAAGCCGAAAUGGACCACCCAUCGGCACUUACCGCUAAUGAACCCACAGUAACAACCCCCUCAAGAAAACCUUACUCUCCCUAACGUUAACCUCACACAAGAACAUUUCUGGAAAGAUUAAAAAAAGAGGAAG